GCAGCUACGGACACAGUUCGCUGUGCUGAAAGAGAAGAGGCGUCAGGACAGCAGUAUGUGCCCCGCCAAGUGAAAGCCAAAGCCUCGCUCGGUCAGAACGAACGGCUCUGCAUGCUUCCAGGAGCAGUCCUCUAAAUGGAUAUAACUAGAAAAUACACAAAUGCGUCAACGUGGCCUUGUGUGAUAUCAGAGCAAGGCGGGAACAACGCAAUGGCCCAGCAGUUGGAAUUGGUGAGACUUUUUGGUGGACCUAAAACUAAUGCGGCAACUGGGGACAUAUGGGAGCGAUCUGGGGGCUGUUUUGAAGAGCAGAGUAAACAAGGGACAAGUUCAUAAAUACAGUGGAAAGGAAUCAGACCAUGGACAUAGCUUGUUUUUGCAAUAUAGCCCUGACUAUGUGGCUGUUUCUUCUAAAGACGUUAAUUCAAAGGCCAGUAGUUCAAAAUGGAAUCAGGUAGGUAUUACCCAAGAGGCCUAGUAAGUUUAAAUCCUUUCUGGAUGGAUGUAGCCUAGCUAGAAAACAGGACUCAUGACGGAGAUGCCUACGAGCGGCCAGGAGUCCUCCCAGUGUGGGCAGUGGUGGCUUAAAUGAGAAUGGCCUCCACAGGCUCAUAAAUUUGAAUACUUAGGACCCAGAUGGUGAACUGCUUGGGGACGAUUAGGAGUUGUGGCCUUGUCAGAGACGCCUAUAGGUGUUUGGGGGAGUGGGUGGGCUUUGAGGUUCCAAAAGCUCGUGCCAUUCCCAGUCUCCCUGCAUCAUGGCUGCGUCCCAAGAAGUGCGCUCUCAGCUACUGCUCUAAGCCUGUGCCUGUCUCCUACCGCCCAAUUUCACCUCCAUGAUGGCCAUGGACUCUAACCCUCUGAAACUGUGAACUCCAAGUAAACUCUAAGUUCCUUGGUCACAAGAACAGAAACCACGACAGCGGGACAGCAACUGUACCUUGGAAGCAAAGCGCAGUGAAUUCAGGGACUCAGAGACAUUCUCUUCCAGAGGGGAAAUGUUCACAAACAUGAGCCUGUGGAAAGAGAAGGGCCCCAGCCAGCAUCAGUGGUCUACACACAUCAGAGGCUGCACAUACAUAGCUGUGUUAAGACUGUAGUUCCUGGGCCUGGAGAGAUGGCUCAGUGGAUGAGAGCACUGCCUGCUCUUCCGAAGGACCUGGGGUCAAUUCCCAGCACCCACAUGGCAGCUCACAACUGUCUCUAGCGCCAAUUCAUCCCAAGGAGUCUGACACCUUUCCACCAACACACAUAAAAUACAAUUAAUUAUUUUAAAAAGACUAGUUCCUACAGUCCCUCCACUCACAUCUUGGCACUGCCACCCAGAGAGUUCUGCAGCAGGUAGGUAAGCUUGCUGUUCCGGUAAGGCACGUGGGACUCCUGGAAGGUUAAGGGUGCAGGCAGUUAGGAUAGGGCAUUCUUCCCCACAGCCCAUGCCUUUCCUGCCCAGGCAUCCAUUCCUACCUUAUUGCUCAGAGCCAUUAUGACCAGCCCCAGCGUCGACAGACUGCUGUUAAUGGCCUGUGUCUCCCGAAGACGGUCCCGCUCCCCGGGGCCCAGGGUGAGGCCAGGGUCCAGGCGCUCGCUCCCAGCCAGGUCCACCAGGUUGAGAGGAGCGCCACACUGCAGGCCGCGAGCAGCGUGCUCUCCGGAAAUCUGCAGCUGGAACACACUGUGGCUGCGCGAUGAUCUCUCGUUCUGGGCAGUGCGGGCCACAGCCCGGUUCUGGUGUGCCAAAUGGAGCAGAGUCUCCACCUAGGGCAGAGGCAGUCAGAAGCUGGAAAGUGCUGGGGGUGUUGGCACUCGAUGAACCUGUCUAGGCCAUCUUUUAGCAAAACCAGAGGCUAAGAACAGUGUGUAUACACAUUUAGACACAACAGCCCAGACUGGGUCUUAGCACAUAACUAUCAUCCCAGCUACUUGGGAGGCUGAAGCAGAACCCAAAGUUUAGGGACUCCCGGAGAUACAAAGGGAGUUCUGGGCAACUUAGUGAGGCCAUGUCUCAAAGUAAACGGGCCAGGUGUGGUGGUUUACACCUAUAAUUCCAGCACUCAGGAGGCUGAGACAGGAGGAUUGCCUUGAGUUCAAAGCCAGCCUGUGCUACAGUGCAAUAUUCUCAAAAAAGAAUAAAAGGACAACCCAGGUGACCUCACUGCCUGAAGAGCUCCAGAGCAAGAGUGAGCUUCGAGUACCCCUGAGAGGCCUGAGAUGGGACCAGCCAGGUAGCCGUCCUGGCGAGGGUGAACUAAGCCACCCUACCAGCUAAGUCUGAAGUGAUGCCCACCCUCACAGCCCACCCUGCGCCCUUUGCUGUUUUGUUUGCACCAUUCUGCCCACUCUUCUGGCUCCAGCCCCUACUUGUCCUCACCUCCUUCUCACAGGAAACAGGGACAUAGCGUGCAUUGGUGACGUUCCUGCAGCUGGUUGUGCAGCCGACGGCGCUCCAUCUCCAGCCCGUGGACCCGGUCUCCUUGCUCAGCCAGUAACGUCACCUGGGCUGCAGUCUUCUCCCGCAGGCAGAGCAGCUCUGCCUGGCUGCUCGACAGAUCUGCUUCCGAGGCCUGUAACCUCCUCUGCCCGCAACAGAGAACAGAAGGUGGGACGCAACCAAGAAUUAGCAAGUUCUAGUGCCACAAUGGGGUUGCUCCCUAGCCCCAUGGACUUCACAGACCGUUAAGAAGAGGCGGGCGCUCAGUGCCCUCCGCUCCUCCUGCAGCUCCAGCCGUUCUUUCUGGAGCUCCUCAAUCAGCCUUCCUGUGGUACUCAGCUGCUCCUCCAGCUCCAAGACGCGGGCACUCAGAGUCUCCAGCUUCUGCUGGCCCUGCUCGGCCUGGGUGCGCACACUGGCCAGCUCCCCUUCCAGGGUGUUCCGCUCUGCCCCCAGGCCUGCGGCCUGCUCCUGGGCCUCUCUGAGUUGCUCCCGAAGGCCCUGGUUCUCCUGGUCCAGUGUCUGAGUCUUCUCCCGAUAACGUUUCAGGUCUUCAUUGAGGUCACACAACUGACCUUUUAAAUCCCAGGCAGGGCGUUUGGCACGUUUCUUUAUCACCAUAGGAGCAGCUGAUGCUAACAUGGGCACAAAAGGGGCAAAGGUCAGGAGUCGUGUCCCUCUACCCUUCAGGCUAGCCAGGAAGACAGCACACGGCGUUUCCUGGGCACUCUCCCACCUUCCCCUCCCCACCCUCUCACCCCAGGCCUAUGUGUCACCUACAGGCAGGCUCUGGAGCAGGAACAGUGGGAGCUGGCUUCUGGUUCCUCAGCACUGGAGAAUGAGAGUUAACAUAGAACUCUGUGUUGAACAUGCUAGGACACACCUAUAAUCCAGCACUAGGAGGCCAUGGCAGGAAAAUUGCCAGUUUAAGGCCAACAUGAGCUACAGUGAGACUCGGAAGAAAACACAAACCCCACAAAGGCUGGGCUAGAGAGAGGACUGAGCAGGUCAGAGCACUCGCUCCUCUCAGGGAGGACCCAGGAUUGGUUCCCAUCACCCUCAGGAGACUCACAACCACCGUGACUCCAGCUCAGAAAACUCAGUGCCUCCCUCUGUGCACAUAUAUGCUCAGUUACACACACAUGCAGUAAAAUAAAAAUAAUAAAGUUUAAACACUAACAAACUCAA